UUUUUGAAUCAAGAAAAGGUGUUUUUUUUUUUUUUUGUAUUUUACUUUUUAAACAUGUAGGAAAAGGGGAGAAAGAUCAAUUAUCCAAACCAGGUGUGUGGGAACUGUUGAGUCACAGGCUGAACCACUGAUUGAGCAGCUGGGAAAGGACCCGGUCAGCCCUGGGAGCACAGGUGAAGGCAAUUUAGUGCUACCAGAAGGGUUGGAGCCUGGCUGCACCUCUCUUAGACCUUAUUUAAGGGCUGACUGCCAGUGGGGAAAGAUCUCUUUCUGCAGAUCCCUUCUUGGUGAAGCUUUUCCCUGUGAAUCUGGAAUCUUCUGUUGUAGGUGAGCAAUCUUCUUCCCUUCCUUUCUGUUGUGCCAGUCCUUCCAUCAUCACACCUUUGUUGUAACGCCUUUCCUAUCGUAUUGAUCUAAUAGCUGCAGCAGGGAACAAUCUGUAAUUAUGUAAUCUGAAACAAAAAGCGUGGAGGCCUGGCUCCUCAAGUCCUCAAGUCUUGAAUACUCAGACUUGCAUAUUAUGAAGAUUCAUGGCUUCAAAUUUACUCUCAACUACUGGAGUGAGUGUCAUUCUUAACUAAGUCAUCCAGUAGUUAUACACACCACAAAAUCAUCUGCGUGUUUAAUGUAGAGCAGAGAAUUUCUAUGGAGAAAUCUAUAGCUUUUAAUUCAGUGAUGAAUCAUUUAUGGGAUUUUGGAUUAUUCACUUUGCACUGAAUUGAGUUGUCUCUUUCACAAAGACCACCCCCCCCCAACGUGCUCUGUGUCACAGACUGAGCCCCGUGGUGAUGUAUGUUGCUGGGAUGAAUUAUUUAUUGGAUGUUUUAAAUCACUUGUUCGGUGGUGAACUAAGUCAGUUAAUUUUAAAUGUGCUCAUAUCUAUUCUUAAGUGCACAAAAUGACUUUACAUACACAAUAUUCAUCUCUCUUUCUUCUUUCCUUUUGUGUACAAUAACGAUUUAUCCAUGAGGUUUGGGUUGAGCUAGUUUUGGAUGUGAUCAAACUUUCCUUUGAGGGAGGCAGUGACUUGUCCUGGGGGUUUGCCCCACCUGUUCUUGGGCCUGGUGUGCAGCAGGUGUGUGCACGAGCCUAUCAACUCUCAGCUGCAUCUUAUUUCAAAAACACAGGGAAGGGAUCACUAUUUCUUAGCAUGUAGUGCACAAGAUGCAGUUCUCUCAAUCCUCAAGAAGUUCAGCAGUGAACUUCUCAAUGGAUUGUAUCAAUAGUACUGAGAGCAGGGAAAUUCCCAUAGAUUUCUGUGAUCAAACACUGAUUUUAUUUUUUCUCUUGACCUGCAAGGCUCAGCGGAUAAUGGGGACGGCUCUUUGCUAGGGCUUUCCUGUGAGCACUGCUUCAAGGACAAGGGAAAAUCAGCCUCUUCACUGACUGGGUGACUGCGAAUUCCAAGGACUGAAGACCUGGAUGGUUUCACGGGAGCAUCCUGCUAUUGUUGGUGCUAUUGGUGCUAUUGUUGGUUGUAUAUUGGUGUGUCCUACCAGCAUCCUCAUCUGCUGAUGCUCGAGUGCACAGCCAGCAACCAACAUUUCCUCAGUUGAGUUACACCUUCAGCCCAGGACGAUCUCUCUUAACGUUUAGGUUAUUUUCUCACGUUUCUCUUUCCAAGUAACCUUACCUUCUGUACACACCUAAAGAAUUCCAGGUUAUUUUCACUCCUCUCCAUGAAGGAAAUUAAAGGCUUCCUGCUGCUGUAUGCUCUCACAUGCAUCUAUGUGAUAAACCUGUGUUUUUCCUGCCCAGUUCCAAAAAGCACCAUUAAAGUUAAUGCAUUUCAGGUAUGAGGGCAACCAGAGAAAGGAUUAAUUUCUGUAAUCUUUGGUCUUUUCUCAUUGUCUUUUGCAAUGUGAAACUUAAAGCCAUAACUGCAAAUAAAGAAAAUAUGUCUUUUGUUGAAAACAAAUGCAGCUAACCAUAUAUAUAUGUUUGUGCAUGUAUGCUAUGACAACAAAAGUUAAUCUCUUCUAAGACCACCUGUCACUGCAAACUAGGUAUGAUGCAAACUGACCAGGUUAUUCACAGGUUUCCAUAGGAAUCUCUGCUCAGCCUUCAAGUAGUUUCUAGAGGGGGGAUUCUUGAUUCAGAUAUUGUUUUGCUGUACUGCAGGUAGGACUGCUAGGUGAAUGCCUUAAGCUUUUUUCUUUGUGCAUUGUGAUACUUGUGAUUAAAUGAGGGGAAAAAAAACCCAACAAACUCUUAAAAUCCAGGUGUUUGACAGCAUGUGACUGAGAGAAACAAAUACACAUCACUUCAUUUUCUAAACAUGUAUACCUACAGAGGUCACACACCUAUUUUCACAGUUACUGGCCUCCCCUUUUCAAUGACUUCCUUUCAUUUUUACAUAUCUUUGUACUCUACAGCCACUCAUUUCACUGACUACCAGGUAACACACUUCAGUAAAGUUUAAAAGUCAACCAAAGCAAAGGUACGUGGAGAACACAUGUGGUUGUACCAUUUUAGGAUCUCUGCUUUUGCUAAUAGCAAAAUCUUUUUACUUUACGCCCGCCCUCCCAACUCUUUACAGCAGAAGGGUCAUACAUGACAUAUGCAUAAGGUACUGGUGUACAGCUAAACACUGACAGUCAGUACUGAAGUGUGGCAUUGAAAGCAAAUUUAACAAGGUCCCAAAACCCUGUAAAGUUAAGAGCUACAACACAUAAAAGCAUUUAUCUUUAUCUGGUUGCCUCAGGGACAUUGACACUAGUAUCACAGUCUCUUGAUUAGCAUUUCAAUGUUUGCAAUGCACAUAGCUGCAAUGCAGGACCCCACACGGUGCAGUCAGUUCAGCUCCACAGCCACCACAGCUGCUGGCACUGUUUCCUCUGGCAUUAGUGCCCUGAAUUCUCACCCAUCAGGCUCCUGCCUUAGCUCAGGCCAUGAAGACAUUGGCAUCUCUUCCAUUGGGCUCAGCAUGAACAAAUUCACCACCCACCCCAGCCUUGCCUUAGUGUUAAGAGGUAAAACUAAACUCUGAUUUGAGAUAAAUGCCAUCUCCCCUCAUAGCAAAUGCUCAAUUGAACUAAACUGCAGGCCCAAUUCAUAAAGAAAUACACAAACCCUUAAUUGUUUUUGGCAUUUAUCAACAGCAGGUAGAGUGUAUGUACAGGGAUGUUGUGACUUACUUUGCACUCAGGGAAAACCAACCCAUACAGAUAAAGCAAUUGUGAGUGGUUUCUGAACAAGGCAGGAGGAAAACCGAACCUUAAUCAUCUGCCUCUCCCAGCAGGUGAGUUAGUCACACCACAACUGCCCCAGAGAACAAACUAUGAACUGUGAGGUGGCUGGAUGUGACUGCAUGCUGCUUUUUAAACAAAAAUGCAAUCUUUCCCCCGGACUCUCAUAGAUGCAAACCUGCUUGCCCUGGUUUGCCACUCACUGAACAGCAGAGGAUUACUCACACGGCCAACUCAAGACCAAGCAGCAUCAUCUGAACUGUGGUCUUAAAACUGAAGUGAGGGUCAAAUGUUUUUCAAGUCUCUGCAUGGGUUCAGUCUCCAUGCACAGAGAAAAUCAUUUUACGCUUUUUAAAAUGGAGACAAAAUGGUAGAAUAUAUUGAACUCCUUUAUCUAGGCAUAAUUAAGGUACCCAUUGUUCACUUUCUGCAGAAAACAGUAGCGGCACAGAGGUGUAAGGCUGUCCUCUAACAGCUCCCCCACAGACAGUCAUACCAGAAUUAACGUUCUUAAGCAAUCUCAUGGUCUUCCCAAGUUAUGAGGGUGCUCAUCUCAUCCAAGACCGCAAUGAAAAAGACCAUCAGAUCAAAGUGAAAUUACUGCAGAGCAGCCCAAGGUAUUUGGGAUGAGGACUGACCACCGGGCACUGGGGGUCAGAGUAAAGGAUUUGGACACAGUAUCCCCCCUGGGCCACUCCUUGUGCUCAGCCCCAUGCUACCAACUGGCACUGGUACCUUCAGGAAAGGGAAAGUUAACCCAACUUGUUUUCUGUACAGGAUGUACCUCCUGCAGCAUGCAUCUUCACAACCACUCAUGUGCUUGCAAACAUGGGAUUUGUUUAUGAAUUGGGCCAUGCUUGAUACAAUGCCUGUGACCAGUAUUAAAUGAAACAGGGAAAAAAAUCUAUAGAAAAUGUAGGACUAUGAAUGGGACUUCACUUGUGAUCCCAGAGGUAACAUACACAGUAUUUUGCUAUAUUUAACGUGGUAAAAAAAAACAACAGUUGUCACUCUCGGUGCCCCUACAGUCUUAAUACAUUUCAUUAAUAUCUGUUUUAAGUUGCACAACCAUUUCCCAAGACACCCUCCUGUCCCUCCCCCCAAAUAAACUAGUUUUUAUAACAAGAUAAAUAUGAUGUGCUUCUCCUUGCUGAGUGCAUUGACUUAAGGCAUAGGCACAAUUCCCCUCUUUGAACAGAGAUGGUAUAGUCCUGUGUCCCAAUACAAUUGUUAUCCUGGGUGACCCUUUGCAUUCGAACAUUGACUCAAGAUAAUAAUUACAGGAAUAAUUCAUUAACAAAUAAUUUGAAUUUGUUCAUUAAUCUGAAAGCAUCAGAGAUAUAUAUGUAGAUAACUCAAUCCUCUUUCAGAAAUAAAUUUUAUGGGAGUGUUGCUUUGUUGGGAAGCAACAUCCAAUCAAAAUGCCAUGGAUAUCUUCCCAUUGAGUCCAGCCAGUUUGGGAUCAGGCUAGAAUCAAUCAUUUAAGAACAUCAAACCCUGGUACUUUUCAGA